AUUCUUAUGCUGGAUGCAUAUUUGUUUAUAUUGCUCAGGAUCUGAUUCAUGACAUGCCUAGUAUCCAAGUGUUUGGAGAGAAAAGUGAAACGAGCAAGCCUGUCGAUGGUGAUGAUGAAGAUGGCAAUGAAGAUGGGGACGGAGAAGAGGACGGUGCUGUCGGGGAGGGUGACGAAGAACCAUCUGAGGAUGACGGGGAGGGAUACGAGAACCCCAAUAAUAACAGUGGCAAGAAAGCCCCUGGCGACGGUGCUGGUGGUGAAGAAAACGGAGAGGAUGAUGAUGAAGAGGCCGAGGAUCCAGAGGACGGGGAUGACGACGACGAUGAUGAAGAAGAUGAGGAUGACGAUGAUGGUGGAGAGGACGAGGACGAGGGUGUGGAAGACGACGAGGAGAACGAGGAUGAAGAGGAAGACGACGAGGAAGAGGAGCUUCAACCUCCUAAGAAGAGGAAGAAGUGAGCGUGGUCGAAGUCGGGCUCGGUUUUAGUUGUAGCUUCUCUUGCUCUUUCGCAGUUCAGUCCGUUCGACCUCGCCGUGUGCCCUAACCCUGGUUUCAUUUCAGGAUUCAUAACGACAGACCGUUGUGGUGUUGGCCUAUGUAGGAGUACUAUUUCCUAAUGCAUCAGAGAGAACUUUGUCAAAUUUUGAUUUGUCUCUCUCAGUUAUUUAAGCUAACAAACUCUAAACUAUGCUGCUUCAAUUUGGUAUCAGAUUUUAACAAUGUAGUCAAAUGCAGCUCACUUUUCCCUCCUUGUUUGGGUCCAUAUGCAUGCAUGUCUCUUAUCUAAACUUUUAUGUGGUUGAAAUCUGGUGCUUGUGGCAACAGGUGAAACACAGCUUGAAGAUGAG
rnacentral:lncRNA from 1 species